rnacentral:rRNA from 1 species
CAGCAGCCGCGGGAAUACGUAGGGUGCGAGCGUUAAUCGGAAUUACUGGGCGUAAAGCGUGCGCAGGCGGUUUUGUAAGACUGGCGUGAAAUCCCCGGGCUCAACCUGGGAAUGGCGCUUGUGACUGCAAAGCUAGAGUGCGGCAGAGGGGGAUGGAAUUCCGCGUGUAGCAGUGAAAUGCGUAGAUAUGCGGAGGAACACCGAUGGCGAAGGCAAUCCCCUGGGCCUGCACUGACGCUCAUGCACGAAAGCGUGGGGAGCAAACAGGAUUAGAUACCCCGGUAGUCCCUGUCUCUUAUAC